GGGGAAUAUUGCGCAAUGGGGGAAACCCUGACGCAGCAACGCCGCGUGAAGGAAGAAGGUCUUCGGAUUGUAAACUUCUGUCUUUGGUGAAGAUAAUGACGGUAGCCAAGGAGGAAGCCACGGCUAACUACGUGCCAGCAGCCGCGGUAAUACGUAGGUGGCAAGCGUUGUCCGGAUUUACUGGGUGUAAAGGGCGUGUAGACGGGUCUGCAAGUCAGAUGUGAAAUACCGCAACUUAACUGCGGGGCUGCAUUUGAAACUGUGGAUCUUGAGUGCAGGAGAGGAAAGCGGAAUUCCUAGUGUAGCGGUGAAAUGCGUAGAUAUUAGGAGGAACACCAGUGGCGAAGGCGGCUUUCUGGACUGUAACUGACGUUGAGGCGCGAAAGCGUGGGUAGCAAAC
rnacentral:rRNA from 1 species